rnacentral:rRNA from 1 species
GAUGAACGAUGGCGGCGUGCUUAACACAUGCAAGUCGAACGGUGAAGGCGGAGCUUGCUCUGCUGGAUCAGUGGCGAACGGGUGAGUAACACGUGAGCAAUCUGCCCCUGACUCUGGGAUAAGCGCUGGAAACGGCGUCUAAUACUGGAUACGAGCUGCGAAGGCAUCUUCAGCAGCUGGAAAGAAUUUCGGUCAGGGAUGAGCUCGCGGCCUAUCAGCUUGUUGGUGAGGUAAUGGCUCACCAAGGCGUCGACGGGUAGCCGGCCUGAGAGGGUGACCGGCCACACUGGGACUGAGACACGGCCCAGACUCCUACGGGAGGCAGCAGUGGGGAAUAUUGCACAAUGGGCGAAAGCCUGAUGCAGCAACGCCGCGUGAGGGACGACGGCCUUCGGGUUGUAAACCUCUUUUAGCAGGGAAGAAGCGAAAGUGACGGUACCUGCAGAAAAAGCGCCGGCUAACUACGUG